AGAAAAUGUCCUUGACUUCAAAUGGAAAGCUAGAAAAAUCUGUGGAUGAGACCGCAGGGAUGUCAGUUUUGGACUUGCCAGAAUUGGCCUUGGAAUGCAUUCUUGAGAUUGAGAGGCUACCACCUGCUGGGCUUUGUAGCAUGGCAGGUGUUUGUACUUCGUUGAGGGAAAGGUGUAUUAGUGACCACCUAUGGGAAAGGCACAUGAAGCAAAAAUGGG
rnacentral:misc_RNA from 1 species